rnacentral:rRNA from 1 species
GGGUUGUGAGGUUAAGCGACUAAGCGUACACGGUGGAUGCCCUGGCAGUCAGAGGCGAUGAAGGACGUGCUAAUCUGCGAAAAGCGUCGGUAAGGUGAUAUGAACCGUUAUAACCGGCGAUGUCCGAAUGGGGAAACCCAGUGCAAUUCGUUGCACUAUCGUUAACUGAAUACAUAGGUUAACGAGGCGAACCGGGGGAACUGAAACAUCUAAGUACCCCGAGGAAAAGAAAUCAACCGAGAUUCCCCCAGUAGCGGCGAGCGAACGGGGAGCAGCCCAGAGUCUGAAUCAGCUUGUGUGUUAGUGGAACGGUCUGGAAAGUCCGACGGUACAGGGUGAUAGUCCCGUACACCAAAAUGCACAGGCUGUGAACUCGAAGAGUAGGGCGGGACACGUGGUAUCCUGUCUGAAUAUGGGGGGACCAUCCUCCAAGGCUAAAUACUCCUGACUGACCGAUAGUGAACCAGUACCGUGAGGGAAAGGCGAAAAGAACCCCGGCGAGGGGAGUGAAAAAGAACCUGAAACCGUGUACGUACAAGCAGUGGGAGCACCUUCGGGUGUGACUGCGUACCUUUUGUAUAAUGGGUCAGCGACUUAUAUUCUGUAGCAAGGUUAACCGUAUAGGGGAGCCGCAGGGAAACCGAGUCUUAACUGGGCGUUAAGUUGCAGGGUAUAGACCCGAAACCCGGUGAUCUAGCCAUGGGCAGGUUGAAGGUUGGGUAACACUAACUGGAGGACCGAACCGACUAAUGUUGAAAAAUUAGCGGAUGACUUGUGGCUGGGGGUGAAAGGCCAAUCAAACCGGGAGAUAGCUGGUUCUCCCCGAAAGCUAUUUAGGUAGCGCCUCGUGAACUCAUCUUCGGGGGUAGAGCACUGUUUCGGCUAGGGGGUCAUCCCGACUUACCAACCCGAUGCAAACUACGAAUACCGAAGAAUGUUAUCACGGGAGACACACGGCGGGUGCUAACGUCCGUCGUGAAGAGGGAAACAACCCAGACCGCCAGCUAAGGUCCCAAAGUCAUGGUUAAGUGGGAAACGAUGUGGGAAGGCACAGACAGCCAGGAUGUUGGCUUAGAAGCAGCCAUCAUUUAAAGAAAGCGUAAUAGCUCACUGGUCGAGUCGGCCUGCGCGGAAGAUGUAACGGGGCUAAACCAUGCACCGAAGCUGCGGCAGCGACACGAUGUGUUGUUGGGUAGGGGAGCGUUCUGUAAGCCUGCGAAGGUGGCCUGUGAGGGCUGCUGGAGGUAUCAGAAGUGCGAAUGCUGACAUAAGUAACGAUAAAGCGGGUGAAAAGCCCGCUCGCCGGAAGACCAAGGGUUCCUGUCCAACGUUAAUCGGGGCAGGGUGAGUCGACCCCUAAGGCGAGGCCGAAAGGCGUAGUCGAUGGGAAACAGGUUAAUAUUCCUGUACUUGGUGUUACUGCGAAGGGGGGACGGAGAAGGCUAUGUUAGCCGGGCGACGGUUGUCCUGGUUUAAGCAUGUAGGCUGGUUAUCCAGGCAAAUCCGGAUAAUCAAGGCUGAGGUGUGAUGACGAGGCACUACGGUGCUGAAGUAACAAAUGCCCUGCUUCCAGGAAAAGCCUCUAAGCAUCAGGUAACAUCAAAUCGUACCCCAAACCGACACAGGUGGUCAGGUAGAGAAUACCAAGGCGCUUGAGAGAACUCGGGUGAAGGAACUAGGCAAAAUGGUGCCGUAACUUCGGGAGAAGGCACGCUGGUGUGUAGGUGAAGUCCCUGCGGAUGGAGCUGAGACCAGUCGAAGAUACCAGCUGGCUGCAACUGUUUAUUAAAAACACAGCACUGUGCAAACACGAAAGUGGACGUAUACGGUGUGACGCCUGCCCGGUGCCGGAAGGUUAAUUGAUGGGGUUAUCCGUAAGGAGAAGCUCUUGAUCGAAGCCCCGGUAAACGGCGGCCGUAACUAUAACGGUCCUAAGGUAGCGAAAUUCCUUGUCGGGUAAGUUCCGACCUGCACGAAUGGCGUAAUGAUGGCCAGGCUGUCUCCACCCGAGACUCAGUGAAAUUGAACUCGCUGUGAAGAUGCAGUGUACCCGCGGCAAGACGGAAAGACCCCGUGAACCUUUACUAUAGCUUGACACUGAACAUUGAGCCUUGAUGUGUAGGAUAGGUGGGAGGCUUUGAAGCGUGGACGCCAGUCUGCGUGGAGCCAACCUUGAAAUACCACCCUUUAAUGUUUGAUGUUCUAACGUUGGCCCCUUACCGGGGUUGCGGACAGUGUCUGGUGGGUAGUUUGACUGGGGCGGUCUCCUCCCAAAGCGUAACGGAGGAGCACGAAGGUUAGCUAAUCCUGGUCGGACAUCAGGAGGUUAGUGCAAUGGCAUAAGCUAGCUUGACUGCGAGCGUGACGGCGCGAGCAGGUGCGAAAGCAGGUCAUAGUGAUCCGGUGGUUCUGAAUGGAAGGGCCAUCGCUCAACGGAUAAAAGGUACUCCGGGGAUAACAGGCUGAUACCGCCCAAGAGUUCAUAUCGACGGCGGUGUUUGGCACCUCGAUGUCGGCUCAUCACAUCCUGGGGCUGAAGUAGGUCCCAAGGGUAUGGCUGUUCGCCAUUUAAAGUGGUACGCGAGCUGGGUUUAGAACGUCGUGAGACAGUUCGGUCCCUAUCUGCCGUGGGCGCUGGAGAAUUGAGGGGGGCUGCUCCUAGUACGAGAGGACCGGAGUGGACGCAUCACUGGUGUUCGGGUUGUCAUGCCAAUGGCACUGCCCGGUAGCUAAAUGCGGAAGAGAUAAGUGCUGAAAGCAUCUAAGCACGAAACUUGCCCCGAGAUGAGUUCUCCCUGAGACUUUAAGUCUCCUGAAGGAACGUUAAAGACGAUGACGUUGAUAGGCCGGGUGUGUAAGCGCAGCGAUGCGUUGAGCUAACCGGUACUAAUGAACCGUGAGGCUUAACCUUACAACGCCGAAG